rnacentral:rRNA from 1 species
GACGAACGCUGGCGGCGUGCUUAACACAUGCAAGUCGAACGAAGAGCGAUGGAAGCUUGCUUCUAUCACUCUUAGUGGCGAACGGGUGAGUAACGCGUAAUCAACCUGCCCUUCAGAGGGGGACAACAGUUGGAAACGACUGCUAAUACCGCAUACGAUCUAAUCUCGGCAUCGAGGAUAGAUGAAAGGUGGCCUCUACAUUUAAGCUAUCACUGAAGGAGGGGAUUGCGUCUGAUUAGCUAGUUGGAGGGGUAACGGCCCACCAAGGCGAUGAUCAGUAGCCGGUCUGAGAGGAUGAACGGCCACAUUGGGACUGAGACACGGCCCAGACUCCUACGGGAGGCAGCAGUGGGGAAUCUUCCGCAAUGGACGAAAGUCUGACGGAGCAACGCCGCGUGAGUGAUGACGGCCUUCGGGUUGUAAAGCUCUGUUAAUCGGGACGAAAGGCCUUCUUGCGAAUAGUGAGAAGGAUUGACGGUACCGGAAUAGAAAGCCACGGCUAACUACGUG